GAGAGUGUUCAUUUAAGAUUCAAAAGGGUGCUCAUAACCAUCCACAUUGCGGUCACUUAUGGCAUGGAUCUACACGGCAUUAGGCCAUGGCACAUGGCAGGGGGCGACAUUUGAGACAGGGACAGAGAGGUUUGUGUGGAAGGACAUAGAGGACAGGACACAGGAAUGGUCUUUUAAGAUGGCUGAAGCAAGAGUGUUGACAUUGUGCGCCAUCUUAACCUUCUCCUGUAUAAUCUCCUACAGUAAACCCUACUGCUGGUUCACGGCCAGCCUCAGAGACAGUGAAUCCUUGGCAUAUUGGCAGAACCUGGAAAACUCUGCCUCACUGAAACAGUGGGGCACCGAGCUCCAGCGUCACGACGCCUCCAGCAGAGCCAUUUUGAAUCUCGACCAUAUGGACUAUCCUUUUCAUUUCAGCUUCUUGACUCUGCAGAUGCCGGGCUGCUCAACACUCUGCAGCGCAUGGGCUGAGAUCAGAGCAUGUUACAGAUGGUUUGAAUUUAAUAAUUAACUGAUUAGAUGCUAUGAACCAUGAAUUAUUAGGCUUUUUUAAUGCCGGAACAGAAUCUUGGUUUAAAGUAGGCGGCAGGGCUAAUGUGAGAGGAGGUCAGAGUGUGAUUAGGGCCUUGAGAAAAGAAACAGAGAGGUGGGAAACAGGGUUAUUACAGUUAACUAAAGCUAAAACCAUUAAAAACAAAAACAUUUUUGUAGCUUGAAUUAAAACAUUAACUGAAAUUAAAUAAAAUAAAAUAAAAUAUUAAAAAUACUUAAACUUAUUUGGGCUAGUUGCCAAGUUACCAAAUUUCUCAUUUUUAUUCAAUUGACUACAUCAAGGUAAACUAAUGAAAACUAAAUAGAAUAGAUAAAUUCAACAUGGAAAUCACUUAAUCAUUAGCUGCAGGGAUCUGAAUGUCUCGAACUUUAUUAAAGUACUCCCAUCCAUUUUAUUAUUCUGUGUCUUAUUUCCACCCCACUAUAUCCCUCUACAUUUCAUCGUGAUUCAUUAAUGAGCAGGAUUUUUUUUGCCAUGAUGCAGGAUCUGCCCGCCUACUCGCUAAAGGGCCUGAUCAUGAGUCAGGUCAGAGCGUUAAACCCCACUUAAGCCCAGUGGACGGCAGGCAAGGUAUAGAAGCCUUCUCAGGACUGAAGUGCACUUUACUGGAGAACAGGGGCAUGGAGACCAGGAAAGCAUCGCAAAAAAGCUGCAAAAAGCCAGACGAGAGAAAAUAUGUAUGAGCUAAAGAGAAAGAUUAGGGCACAGAGCGACAGGGAGAGGGAUGGAUGAAAGUGACAUGAACACAGUGGUGUGAAGCAGUCUGGGAAGAGUUGGGGGAUAGUACCGAGACUUAAGAUGUGUGAUAAGAUUGGAUAGCGGCACGGCACAGGAUGGAUCACUUGAGUGAGCCGCUGGACAGCACAGUGAGAAACCGCUAAACCUGUGCAACCCAUUUGACUUCUGUGAAUGUUCUACUUUUAAGCCCUAUUGAAUAAGUCAAACAUCUCAAACAGCUGGACAACUUGACAUUCAAAACAGAGGGAGAAAAACUGACCUUGCCAAGAAUUUUGAACUGAACUGAAUCAACAUUGAAUUGACUUGAGCUGAAUAAUGACACUAUUUUCUUCUGCAGAGCUGCUUGAGAGCAGAAUUUUAAUUUGUCUCAUAUUUGAUGAAGUUUGCAUCGAUGGUAAUGGUGGUAAUGCUGUAUUAAAACAUUCUGUAUUGUAUAAAGCAUUAAAUUAAGGUGACUUGACUAACUUUAUUAAACCAUUCUUCACACUAA